rnacentral:rRNA from 1 species
AUGGGUUCGAGGAUAGCUUUCUCUUAUUGUGCUCUGCUACUGGUCACACUGCUGCCUCUUUCGGCAAAUGCGUCGAGCAAACUCUACAUAGUGUACAUGGGGGAGAAGAAACAUGAAGAUCCAUCUGUUGUCACCGCUACGCACCAUGAUAUACUAACCUCCGUACAUGGGAGCGAGGAUGAAUCCCUGAAGUCGAUAGUUUACAGUUACAAGCACGAAUUCUCUGGGUUCGCGGCAAUGCUUACCGAAACCCAAGCUAGGACGUUGGCAAGCAUAUGGCCUGAAUCACGAAGCUUUGACGACAACGGGUACAGCUUUGUGCCGGCACGGUGGAAAGGCAUAUGUCAGACCGAAACAGCAUUCAAUGCAACGAGUUGCAAUAGAAAGAUCAUCGGCGCAUGGUGGUACUCUGAGGGAAUUGACGCCAUGGACCUCAAGGGCGAGUACAUGUCGCCUCGGGAUUUCAACGGCCAUGGCACCCAUGUUGCCUCGACUAUUGCCGGAGGAGAAGUGCAGGGUGUGAGCUAUGGCGGCCUAGCCACCGGCACGGCACGUGGCGGGGCACCACGUGCACGGCUAGCAAUUUACAAGGUGUUAUGGGGCCCAAACACGGCAGCCAGUGACACGGACAUCCUUGCAGCCAUUGACGAUGCCAUACAAGAUGGCGUGGAUGUCCUGUCGCUCUCAUUGGGACGGGGUGCCCGUCACGAGUUCCCCGGGACACUUCAUGCAGUCUUGAGAGGGAUCUCAGUUGUCUUCUCUGCCGGGAAUGAUGGUCCGGCACCACAAACGGUGACGAAUGUCAUGCCAUGGGUGACGACAGUGGCAGCUAGCACGAUGGACCGGGCCUUCCCAACCCUCAUAUCUCUCGGAAACAAAGAAAAGCUUGUGGGACAAUCUCUUUACUACAACUCAACUCUGAACAGCGACGACUUCAAGGAGCUUGUUCACGCGGGAAGCUGCACGGCGGAGUGGUUAGCGUCAAACAACGUGACCGGCAAGAUCGUCCUGUGCUACGCACCAAGGCUGGCGCCCAGCGUGCUGCCUCGAGUAGAGCUGUCCCUCACCAUCAACCGUACUGUGGGUGCCGGAGCCAAGGGCCUCAUCUUUGCGCAGUACACCACGAACCUCCUGCUGAUAUGCAAGGGCGGCAUGCCCUGUAUUGUAGUAGACUACGAAAUUGCACAGAGAAUUGAAUCAUACUUGGCGAUCACAGAGAGUCCAAUCGUGAAGGUGUCACCUGGCAUGACCGUUGUCGGAGACGGGGUGUUGUCGCCAAGGGUUGCUUCAUUCUCGUCCAGAGGCCCGAGUCCUCUAUUCCCAGGCAUACUCAAGCCCGACAUAACUGCACCAGGCGUCGGCAUCUUGGCAGCUGUGCGCGGCUUCUAUGCGUUAAUGGAUGGUACAUCCAUGGCAUGCCCACAUGUCUCCGCAGUGACCGCGCUUCUUAAGUCGGUUCACCCUGACUGGUCGCCUGCUAUGAUCAAGUUUGCAAUCGUCACCACGGCGUCAGUGACCGAUCAAUUCGGCGUGCCAAUCGAAGCAGAGUCGGUGCCGAGGAAGGUAGCUGAUCCCUUCGACUUCGGUGGUGGCCACAUGGAUCCUGACAGAGCCGCUAACCCUGGCUUGGUUUACGAUGUGGAUGCAAGAGAGUACAACAAGUUUUUUAAUUGCACCCUUGGAUCGUCCCAUGGUUGCGAGUCCUACCAACUCAAUCUCAAUCUCCCGUCGAUCGCUAUUCCAGACCUCAAAGACCAUGUCACGGUUCAGCGCACUGUCACAAAUGUGGGGGCGGUCAGAACGACUUAUCAUGCGGUACUUGAAGCUCCAGCAAGGGUGGUCAUGUCCGUGGAGCCAUCUGUGAUCACAUUCGUCAAAGGAAGUAGCACAAGCAUGACAUUCAGAGUGUCGUUCACUACAAAGCGGAGAGUGCAAGGUGGGUUUACCUUUGGGAGCUUGACAUGGUCAGAUGGAAAUACGCACUCGGUUAGGAUUCCCGUCGCAGUAAGGACUGUGAUACAAGACUUUGUUGCAGAUACAUCUUAA